UGGGAAGUGGGAAGGUGGGCCUACCGCUGGGGAUCCCCCUUGCGCGCACGGAUCCCUGAGGAAUCCCCGCAGUAACACGCCAAGAAUGCCCCAGCCCCACCACUGGAUCCUGCGCGCGAGGAGCACGACCCGGCCGAGCGAGCGGCGCGCUGGGGCGGCGGCUGUUGUAGGCAAGCGAAGGGCGACUGACCGCCAAAGUGCAAACUCUGCAGAAUGCCGGCGCGGCUGGACGCCUCGGCUUGGCCGAGCGGACAGUCGCGACGCAGCCUCCAGCCAGGGCACAUCAGGAUUAGGAUAACUUAUUGUUUGGUAAUGUAAUGAAUCAAACUGAACCCACCGGUUAGGUAACCUUUAGUAUGUACAGCAGAUCAGACUGAGGGGUAGGGCAAAAAGGGUAUUUGGCAUGAACCCAAUAAAUAGUACUAAAGUAAUAACUAA